ACUCCUACGGGAGGCAGCAGUGGGGAAUUUUGGACAAUGGGCGAAAGCCUGAUCCAGCAAUGCCGCGUGAGUGAAGAAGGCCUUCGGGUUGUAAAGCUCUUUUGUCAGGGAAGAAACGGUGAGAGCUAAUAUCUUUUGCUAAUGACGGUACCUGAAGAAUAAGCACCGGCUAACUACGUGCCAGCAGCCGCGGUAAUACGUAGGGUGCAAGCGUUAAUCGGAAUUACUGGGCGUAAAGCGUGCGCAGGCGGUUUUGUAAGUCUGAUGUGAAAUCCCCGGGCUCAACCUGGGAAUUGCAUUGGAGACUGCAAGGCUAGAAUCUGGCAGAGGGGGGUAGAAUUCCACGUGUAGCAGUGAAAUGCGUAGAUAUGUGGAGGAACACCGAUGGCGAAGGCAGCCCCCUGGGUCAAGAUUGACGCUCAUGCACGAAAGCGUGGGGAGCAAACAGGAUUAGAAACCCGAGUAGUCCCAUGA
rnacentral:rRNA from 1 species